rnacentral:rRNA from 1 species
CCUACGGGUGGCAGCAGUGAGGAAUAUUGGUCAAUGGGCGCGAGCCUGAACCAGCCAAGUAGCGUGAAGGAUGACUGCCCUCCGGGUUGUAAACUUCUUUUAUAAAGGAAUAGAGUGAGGCACGUGUGCCUUUUUGUCUGUACUUUAUGAAUAAGGAUCGGCUAACUCCGUGCCAGCAGCCGCGGUAAUACGGAGGAUCCGAGCGUUUUCCGGAUUUAGUGGGUUUAAAGGGAGCGUAGAUGGGUUGUUAAGUCAGUUGUGAAAGUUUGCGGGUCAACCGUAAAACUGCAAUUGAUACUGGCAGUCUUGAGUACAGGAGAGGUGAGCGGAAUUCGUGGUGUAGCGGUGAAAUGCGUAGAUAUUACGAAGAACACCGAUGGCGAAGGCAGUUCACUGGACUGCAACUGACACUGAGGCUCGAAAGUGUGGGUAGCAAACAGGAUGAGAUACCCGAGUAGUC